CCAGGUUUUAUCUACCCUCCCUUCGACAAAAAAACGUGACCCAACAUUCAAGUCUUCUUUCACUUAAUUUAUCCUUUAAAGGCAGCACCUCAACCUAUUAGAAUAUAUCUUCAUUUUGUAUCUUAACUAUCUUAAUACGACCGCAUAUCCAUUUAAUAUCAUUAUUUCCACUAAAUUCGUUCUAUGAACAUCUUGAUCUUCAACAAGAUCUAUGAAGUAUAGCUAGUCUAAUCACAGUUUUGUAGAUCUUGCCCUUUAAUCUCCGUGGAAUCAUAUCCAUUUAAUAUCUUUAUUUCCACUACAUUCCUUUUAUGAACAUGUAUAGCUAGUCUAUUUACAGUUUUGUAGAUCUUGCCCUUAAAUCUCAAUGGUAUCUUCAUAUCACAUAGAACUCCUGUAAAACUUCUCCAUUCUAUUCAAUCCGCUCUAAUUCUAUGAAUUACAUUGUUUUCAAUCCUUAAUAAUGUAUCCAAAAACAAAC
rnacentral:lncRNA from 1 species